GAUAUAAAUGUAAAUAAAUAAGUAACAUGACGGAUGUAACACAAUAUAAGCUGCAUAUAUCUGCUAAUAAAGUAAAUCAAAACCAACUUUUCAUUGCUUAGAAAACCUGCCAGAAGGCAAUUUGGAAAGAGGUGACUUCACAAUCUUCACUAAAUGAAUUAUUUUCUUCUAGAGUGAUUUUUCUAAUGUAAAUAAAGAAAAGAAGGAGCUGAGGAAGAGUAAGAAGAAAGGUGGUGGACCUUUCAGGAUUUGGUCAUUGAUGGUCUCAUGUACCUGUAAGUUGUUGUUAGGUUUAGCUGUAUAUCACUACAUUGUGUAAUGAUGGGGUUUACCUAAAACUGCACCUAUCUGGCUUGAUUCUCCUCUGAGCCUAUUUUCUCCAGCCUCUAAAAUCUGCCGAGGGUGAGCUUGUGACGAGACUGUCCAUGCAUCAAAUCCAGAGAACAAAGUCAUGUGGAAAUUCAUUCUUAUUAAUCGAGGCAUUCCAGCUGAGGUUCACAGACAGAGCAGUUUCCUGAAUUAAAGCACUAUUUGUGUGCUUGGGCAAGCAUUGGAAAGCUGCAGUUUAGGGAGGUCCGAAGGCUGGCUUAAUUUCGUGUUCACCAUGUUUUAUAUUUUCUGUAUUUUCCUCCUUGUAUACUUUUCCACAGGGGAUAAAAAUGAAAUUCGUAAAGGAUAAUUAAAUUGUUCAAAAAGGGAUUGAAGCCUUUUCUUAGCAUGCCUUCAAGUAUCAAGAAUUCUAAUUGGAGAAGACUAGCUGAGCUCCACUUAUGUCUGUGAAGAAUGGGGGCAAGCAGAAUAAUUUCCACGAGGAUUGUCAGCUCUUCCAAACAUCUUCAUAACCGAAGAGUCUAAGCGGGGAUACCAGUGUACACACCUGAUUGUCCCACCAACCUUGUAUCCUUACUCAGAAGUAAUGCCAAUUGAAUUUAAUGUCACUUCCUCUUAGUUUGCAGCCAGUGAAGGAAGCUGGGGACAAAGGAGAAAAGUGGAGAAGAAACUCAGCCAUUUAAAAACUGCUGAAAAAAUGAGCCAACAUCAAGACCAUCCCUGCCAAGUAUGAACAUAAGACACUUUUCAAGACUUCAUAUAUGGAAUGGACUCCCCUUUUCCAAGUCAGGACAUUGAAAGCAAUGUAUUAGAAGAAAUAAACUUGACACACAUUAAAAUUCAAAACCACGUGCAUCUUCCUUUAUUUGCGUUCAUCUUUCUCUGAAUCUGUAUGUUGUGUAUUAAAAAGGGCACUUGAAUGGAAUGAGGGGAGGGAAACAACAAAAACCAAGAAUUUCCUCUCUUUUCCUCUGCCCCACGCCUUGCUGCUGAUGCAGUUUCUUGUAGGCCUUCACUUGUUUUCUUUGAUUUGAUUUAUCAACUCGCUUAAUGUAACCUAGUUAAUUUUUCUCUUUACCUUUUUUGUUUUCUCGCAGGCCAUUAACCCUGGUAACAUGAAUUCCAGAUGCACUUGUUUGGGAGGCAUGUAAAUAAAAUACAGAUUAUUUGGGUUUAUAGCUAACAGGUU